rnacentral:lncRNA from 1 species
GUUUUGUUGCUGAUGCUCGUAAUGCUGGUGAUGAGGUGGAGGGAGAAGGCGUAGAGAGGUAAACAGGUGGCAAAGCUUAUGUGCCAUUCUAUGGCUUUGAUUUUUUUUCACUCAGAGCUCUGGGGAGUCAUUAAAGCUUUCUGAGCUGGAGAAUGGCAUAAUCAGAUUUGAAUUUGUAAGAGCUCAUUCUGGCAGUGGUGUAGAAAGGGCUAGACUGUAGACAGGGAGAUUGGUUGGAAAGCAAUUUAAUGAAUUGAAGCCAUUGGGAAGGAAAAUUAAAGGAAAGGGUGAGGUUGCAGAAAUAUUCAGGCCUUUUUUAUUUUUAAUUUUUAUGGAUACAUAAUAGUUGUACAAUUUUAAAAUAUAAAAUAAAUAUAUUUCUAUAGCAAAAAAGGAGAAAUAUUUAGUUCUAAAGAUUAUUUUAUUUUUCCAAAGCGGAUUCUAAAAAGACUUGCUUCUUUACGGCCAUCACCUACAGGGAGGAAUUUUUUCUUCUCCUCAUCAAGUGGUCUACAGGAACUCACAGCAAGGAAAUAAUAUUCAGAGAUAUGAAUCACGUUACACACACCAGAGAACGACCAUGUGAGCACACAGGAAGAUGACCACCUUUUGCAAGCCAAAAAGAAAGCGCUCACAAGCAACCAAAUAGGCCAGCACCCUGAUUUUGGACUUCCCAGCUUCAAGAAGUGAGAGUAAUAAGUUUGUAUUCUUUAAGUCAUCCAGGUUACAAGCAGACUAAAGCAGCUUCUUCCACUUGUUCAAAAUUCUACAUUUUAAAUUUUUAUAAUGUGUUUUGGUUGUUUUAAGUACAACUUUGCAGUAUUUCUUAUCUUUGGUGGCAUUUUCAGAAUACCAAAUAAAAGCAGGUUGAACAAUAAAGACAUUUAUUUUCUCAGUAAAAAAAGUGACAAGUUCAGCAGUGUCAGUUCCAAUCUUCAUCCAGUGGCUCAGCGACAUAAUCAAGGACUGUCUCUUCUCAUUUUUCCCUGUCCACUGUCCUCAGAAGAUUGUAGAACCUCAUAAUUGAAAGACGGCCAUUGCACUUUCUAUGAUCAAAAGUUCUUAUCAGAUAUCACUGAAAGCAGAAAGGAUAAGAUCAGAAGGAAAAAUUGUCUUUGGUGGUGGUAAAUUAAAUAACCAAGAGACCAUUAGUCCGACUCUGUCUCCAUACUUUGAGUUCACACAUAACAAACCACAACCUAACAUAGUAUGUAAACCAAAACUGAACUUAGAAGUACAUUUUUUUGGUAACCAAUAAUCAGGUUUCAUCCAGUCACAAAUAGCACAGUUUCAGCCAGUCACAGGCAGCCAACUAAUCAAACCAUGUUGAAAUAAGGAAAAUACCUCAUCAUAGCAUACCCAAAUAAGACAGAUGCUUAGCUUUCCUGCUAAUCAGGAAACUUUCCUAUUUUGCUUCCAUGUUCAGCCUAUAAAAGCUUGCUGCUCUCACUGCUAGGUGAGCUCUCUGAACUUCUUCUGGCUCUGAGUGCUGCCCAAUUCAUGAAUUAUUAUUUUUCACUCAAAUAAACUCUGUAAAAUUUAAUUUUUCUGAAGUUCUUUUUUUUGGACACUGGUUAUAAAUUGAGUCACAUCCCCACCUAAAUAAGACAAUUAUUGAUGAAUGGGAAUGGAAUUACCAUGAUUGUUUAACUAAUAAUUAUGUAUACCCUAGGUCUUGGUCCACUGCCAAAAAUAGUGUUCUAUUGAUUAAGAACAAAAUCGAGGAUCAGCCUAUAUCAUUAUUUGAAGUGUAAUCUAAUAUGAUGUCACAUUAUCAAAUCUCCUUCACUGUCAAGAUGGUUGCCAACUCAAUAAUAUCAGCACUUCAACAAAUAUGACUUAGACUCAGAUGGGAGUUAAAGCCAAGGGAGGUUUUUCAUAUGGUUGAAUAAUGGAAAUUUUGUGAGAAUGCUCCAAACAUCUAGUUUCUGUUCCCACCAAUCUGACUGGGGAACAGGCAUCCUGCAGUGGCUGUAAUCCAGAUCCUCCCCUUUAGGAUUGAGGCACAUUCCCCAGCUGCCAGGAAUGUUUGUUCAAAAUGGUAAUUAUAUGGCACCAUAUUUCUUCUCAUAGUUUCUCUGUAAAUUUCCUCAUUUCUGAAUUAUUAAAAAAUUAAGGUCCUGUUCUUGCUACCAUAUCAGAGUAAAACAAAUAAAUAUUUUUCUGUUGGCAAGAGGUAACUUUUCUAAAACAAAAAUAGUUAAUGUUCCAUCCUGGCCAGCAUGGUGAAACCCUGUCUCUACUAAAAAUACAAAAAUUAGUGUGGCAUGGUGGUGUUCACCUGUGGUGCUAGCUACUCAGGAGGCUGAGGCAGGAGAAUCUCUUGAACCUGGGAGGCGGAGGUUGCAGUGAGCCGAGAUCGUGCCACUGUACUCCAGCCUGACAACAAAGCGAGAUUCUGUCAAAAAAAAAAUAGUUAAUAUCUUAGGUAGUUUGGUUUUAUUAUGUAAACUGUCACCCCAACAAUCAUGUCUUUUAUAUCUAUAAAUGCUUCAUGGAAAUCAGAGACAGAUGGCUAAGGUCUAAAUAUGGCAAUAUCUAGCAUACGAAAACAGCCAUGGAAGAUGAGUUAGGAAGAAUAAUGGUCCUUCAAAUACAUCCACAUUCUUAUAUGCUGAGCCUGAUAUAAAAGAUUAUAUUUAUAUGAUAUUUAUAUGUUAUAUAAUUAACAAAUGUUUACGAUGUUACAAAACAUAAUAACAUUUAUUCUGUCUGCUACCUUAAUCACUCUUUACUUUCCAUGGCAAAGAAUGAUUAACGUAGCAGAUAGAAUAAAUGUUGCUAAAUUAGCUGCCCUUAAAAUUGAUUGUCUGGGCAGACUUGAUGCGAUGACAAUGCUCAUUUAAAGUGGAAAAAGGAGGCUGAGUAGGACAUCAUAGUGAUACAAUAUGAAAAGAUCUCAACCCUCUUUAUCCGGCUUUGAAGAUGGAGAAAGGGAACAAAGAGCCAAGGAAGGUGGGUUGUCUCUAGAAGCUGAAAACUGCAAGAAACUGUCUCUUCUCUGGAGCCUCCAGAAAAGAAUGCAGCCCUGCCUACACCUUUAUUUCAGCCCUGUGAGACAUUUGACCCCCA